GAUGAACGCUGGCGGCGUGCCUAAUACAUGCAAGUCGAGCGAACGGACGAGAAGCUUGCUUCUCUGAUGUUAGCGGCGGACGGGUGAGUAACACGUGGAUAACCUACCUAUAAGACUGGGAUAACUUCGGGAAACCGGAGCUAAUACCGGAUAAUAUUUUGAACCGCAUGGUUCAAAAGUGAAAGACGGUCUUGCUGUCACUUAUAGAUGGAUCCGCGCUGCAUUAGCUAGUUGGUAAGGUAACGGCUUACCAAGGCAACGAUGCAUAGCCGACCUGAGAGGGUGAUCGGCCACACUGGAACUGAGACACGGUCCAGACUCCUACGGGAGGCAGCAGUAGGGAAUCUUCCGCAAUGGGCGAAAGCCUGACGGAGCAACGCCGCGUGAGUGAUGAAGGUCUUCGGAUCGUAAAACUCUGUUAUUAGGGAAGAACAUAUGUGUAAGUAACUGUGCACAUCUUGACGGUACCUAAUCAGAAAGCCACGGCUAACUACGUGCCAGCAGCCGCGGUAAUACGUAGGUGGCAAGCGUUAUCCGGAAUUAUUGGGCGUAGAGCGCGCGUAGGCGGUUUUUUAAGUCUGAUGUGAAAGCCCACGGCUCAACCGUGGAGGGUCAUUGGAAACUGGAAAACUUGAGUGCAGAAGAGGAAAGUGGAAUUCCAUGUGUAGCGGUGAAAUGCGCAGAGAUAUGGAGGAACACCAGUGGCGAAGGCGACUUUCUGGUCUGUAACUGACGCUGAUGUGCGAAAGCGUGGGGAUCAAACAGGAUUAGAUACCUUGGUAGUCCACGCCGUAAACGAUGAGUGCUAAGUGUUAGGGGGUUUCCGCCCCUUAGUGCUGCAGCUAACGCAUUAAGCACUCCGCCUGGGGAGUACGACCGCAAGGUUGAAACUCAAAGGAAUUGACGGGGACCCGCACAAGCGGUGGAGCAUGUGGUUUAAUUCGAAGCAACGCGAAGAACCUUACCAAAUCUUGACAUCCUUUGACAACUCUAGAGAUAGAGCCUUCCCCUUCGGGGGACAAAGUGACAGGUGGUGCAUGGUUGUCGUCAGCUCGUGUCGUGAGAUGUUGGGUUAAGUCCCGCAACGAGCGCAACCCUUAAGCUUAGUUGCCAUCAUUAAGUUGGGCACUCUAAGUUGACUGCCGGUGACAAACCGGAGGAAGGUGGGGAUGACGUCAAAUCAUCAUGCCCCUUAUGAUUUGGGCUACACACGUGCUACAAUGGACAAUACAAAGGGCAGCGAAACCGCGAGGUCAAGCAAAUCCCAUAAAGUUGUUCUCAGUUCGGAUUGUAGUCUGCAACUCGACUACAUGAAGCUGGAAUCGCUAGUAAUCGUAGAUCAGCAUGCUACGGUGAAUACGUUCCCGGGUCU
rnacentral:rRNA from 1 species